UACGUAGGGAGCAAGCGUUGUCCGGAAUCAUUGGGCGUAAAGAGCGCGUAGGUGGCCACAUAAGUCCGUUGUGAAAGUCAAAGGCUCAACCUUUGAAAGCCGAUGGAUACUGUGUGGCUAGAGUACGGAAGAGGCGAGUGGAAUUCCUGGUGUAGCGGUGGAAUGCGCAGAUAUCAGGAGGAACACCAAUAGCGAAGGCAGCUCGCUGGGACGUUACUGACACUGAGGCGCGAAAGCCAGGGGAGCAAACGGG
rnacentral:rRNA from 1 species